AUACGGAGGGUGUAAGCGUUAUUCGGAAUCACUGGGCGUAAAGGACGCGUAGGCGGGUUGGCAAGUCAGAUGUGAAAUCCUACAGCUUAACUGUAGAACUGCAUUUGAAACUGCUAACCUAGAGUAUGGGAGGGGGAGAUGGAAUUAGUGGUGUAGGGGUAAAAUCCGUAGAUAUCACUAGGAAUACCGAAAGCGAAGGCGAUCUCCUGGAACAUAACUGACGCUAAGGCGUGAAAGCGUGGGGAGCAAACAGGAUUAGAAACCCCAGUAGUCC
rnacentral:rRNA from 1 species